GACGAACGCUGGCGGCGUGCCUAAUCCAUGCAAGUCGACCUUAGUGUCGAACGGGUGAGUAACACGUUGGUAACCUGCCCAUCAGCAGGGGAUAACACUUGGAAACAGGUGCUAAUACCGUAUACUAAAGGAUGGACCCUCGUUGCAUUAGCUAGUUGGUGAGGUAACGGCUCACCAAGGCCACGAUGCUUAGCCGACCUGAGAGGGUGAGCGGACACACUGGGACUGAGACACGGCCCAAACUCCUACGGGAGGCAGCAGUAGGGAAUCUUCGGCAAUGGACGAAAGUCUGAUCGAGCAAAGCCGCGUGAGUGAAGAAGGCCUUAGGAUUGUAAAAUUCUUUCGGUAGAGAAGCGGUACCUAACCAGAAAGCAACGGCUAACUACGUGCCAGCAGCCGCGGUAAUAC
rnacentral:rRNA from 1 species